rnacentral:rRNA from 1 species
GCUUACGACCACACGGCCUGAGUACGCCUGAUCUCGUCUGAUCUCGGAAGCUAAGCAGGUCGGCCUGGUUAGUACUUGGAUGGAGACCGCCUGGGAAUACCAGGUGCUGUAAGCU